rnacentral:lncRNA from 1 species
GCAUAUUAAUUAAUUAUGCAAUAUUGGAAUAUAAAUGCACAGUAUAAGAUUGCUCAACGCUAAAAGAAAUGAUGUUCGAACAUCAAAAUAUUGAUGUCAAAUACGGUAUGUCCUUUGCUUCUUGUGUGUGUUUUUAAAAUAUGCGUAAAGUGUAAAAGAUAAAAAGUAGAAGAGAGAAAAGAUAAACUCAUACAGUGUCAGAAUUUCAAUGAUCAAACAACAUAGUUGAAACACAAAAUAGGUUCAUGUCUUAAGUUUAACUUUAGUGCAUGUUUGUUUCAAAUUUUGGUAAGUGUAAACAGUUAAAUACCACUUCCAAUUUGCACUUUUAAAGGGAUCAAAACACCAAGAAUCUAAAACAAAUUAACAAGCCUUAAACACUACAAAAGUAACAAUGGUAGCUUAAAAUGGUACACUAUUUUGUAUCCAUCAAUUGUGUUUUGAUGAUAGCUGCACCCACUUCCUCAAUAUAUGGAAACAAGUGUCCAGCACCUGG